GGUUGGGGGCACUUCACCAUCUCCAUCAAGGUCAGACCAGUACAGACCAGUACGGACCAGUAUAGACCGGUAUAGACCAGUAUAGACCAGUAUAAACCAGUACAGGUCACUGGAAUGGGGAAUGGGGUGGUGGGACCAGUAAGGACCAGUUAAGGCUGUUGGAGGUACUUCAACCUCUCCGUCAAGGUCAGACCAGUACAGACCAGUAUAAACCAGUAUGGACCAGUAUAGACCAGUAUAAACCAGGAUAGAACAGUACAGACCAGUAUAAACCAGUAUGGACCAGUAUGGGUCGGUAUAGUUAAGUAUGAGUCACUGGAACGGGGAAUGGGGCGGUGGGACCAGUAAGGACCAGUUAAAUGGGUUGGGGGCACUUCAGCAUCUCCAUCAAGGUCAGGCCAGUACAAACCAGUAUAGACCAGUAUAGACCAGUAUGGGCCGGUAUAGACCAGUAUAAACCAGUAUGGACCAGUACGGGUCACUGGACCGUGGAAUGGGGUGGUGGGACCAGUAAGGACCAGUUAAGGCAGAACUCAGCUGGGACUUACUGGUUUGGGGGUGGGCGUGUCCCCUCUUUAGGUGGGCGUGGUCUCUCCCUGGUGGGUGUGUCCCCUCCCAGGGUGUGGGCGUGGCCUCACUGUGGGCAUGUCUUUUGCCUCCUCUCCCCCUCCCUGAACUGGGAGCUCAGCUGGGACUUACUGGGUUUUGGGUGGGUGUGUACCCUCUCAAGGAAGGACCCACCUUCAGUCCCUCCCCCCACCUUUAAGGACCCCCCCAAGGCCCCUCC